rnacentral:rRNA from 1 species
AAGUCCCGCAACGAGCGCAACCCUCGCCCUUAGUUGCCAUCAUUAAGUUGGGCACUCUAGGGAGACUGCCGGUGACAAACCGGAGGAAGGUGGGGACGACGUCAAGUCAUCAUGGCCCUUACGCCCAGGGCUACACACGUGCUACAAUGGCUGGUACAGAAGGCAGCGAAGCCGCGAGGUGGAGCAAAUCCCAAAAGCCAGUCUCAGUUCGGAUUGCAGCCUGCAACUCGGCUGCAUGAAGCCGGAAUUGCUAGUAAUGGCGUGUCAGCAAUAACGCCGUGAAUACGUUCCCGGGCCUUGUA